rnacentral:rRNA from 1 species
CACCUCUAGCAUUACCAGUAUUAGAGGCACUGCCUGCCCAGUGACAUUAGUUUAACGGCCGCGGUAUCCUGACCGUGCAAAGGUAGCAUAAUCAUUUGUUCCUUAAUUAGGGACUUGUAUGAAUGGCCCCACGAGGGUUUAACUGUCUCUUACUUUUAAUCAGUGAAAUUGACCUUCCCGUGAAGAGGCGGGAAUACAAAAAUAAGACGAGAAGACCCUAUGGAGCUUAAAUUAAAAUGUCCAACAAAAUUUAAACUUAAUCCAACAGGAAUAAUAACAUUUUAACUGGACAACAAAUUUUGGUUGGGGUGACCUCGGAGUAUAACAAAACCUCCGAGCGAUUUAACCAAGACUUACCCGUCAAGGUGUCAUAAUUUAUUGAUCCAAUCAUAUUGAUCAACGAAACAAGUUACCCUAGGGAUAACAGCGCAAUCCUAUUUAAGAGUCCAUAUCGACAAUAGGGUUUACGACCUCGAUGUUGGAUCAGGACCCCCAAAUGGUGCAGCAGCUAUUAAAGGUUCGUUUGUUCAACG